GGGUUGUGAGGUUAAGCGACUAAGCGUACACGGUGGAUGCCUAGGCAAUCAGAGGCGAUGAAGGACGUGCUAAUCUGCGAUAAGCGUCGGUAAGGUGAUAUGAACCGUUACAACCGACGAUUUCCGAAUGGGGAAACCCAGUGCAAUUCGUUGCACUAUCGUUUGAUGAAUACAUAGUCAAACGAAGCGAACCGGGGGAACUGAAACAUCUCAGUACCCCGAGGAAAAGAAAUCAACCGAGAUUCCCCUAGUAGCGGCGAGCGAACGGGGAGCAGCCCAGAGUCUUAAUCAGCAUUAGCAUCAGGAGAACGGUCUGGAAAGUCCGGCAGUAAAGGGUGAUAGCCCCGUAUCCGAAGGUGUUAGUGUUGUGAACUCGACGAGUAGGGCGGGACACGUGUUAUCCUGUCUGAAUAUGGGGGGACCAUCCUCCAAGGCUAAAUACUCCUGAUUGACCGAUAGUGAACCAGUACCGUGAGGGAAAGGCGAAAAGAACCCCGGCGAGGGGAGUGAAAUAGAACCUGAAACCGUGUACGUACAAGCAGUGGGAGCCUUGAUUUAUCAGGGUGACUGCGUACCUUUUGUAUAAUGGGUCAGCGACUUAUAUUCUGUAGCAAGGUUAACCGUAUAGGGGAGCCGUAGGGAAACCGAGUCUUAACUGGGCGAAUAAGUUGCAGGGUAUAGACCCGAAACCCGGUGAUCUAGCCAUGGGCAGGUUGAAGGUUGGGUAACACUAACUGGAGGACCGAACCGACUAAUGUUGAAAAAUUAGCGGAUGACUUGUGGCUGGGGGUGAAAGGCCAAUCAAACCGGGAGAUAGCUGGUUCUCCCCGAAAGCUAUUUAGGUAGCGCCUCGUGAACUCAUCUUCGGGGGUAGAGCACUGUUUCGACUAGGGGGUCAUCCCGACUUACCAACUCGAUGCAAACUACGAAUACCGAAGAAUGUUAUCACGGGAGACACACGGCGGGUGCUAACGUUCGUCGUGAAGAGGGAAACAACCCAGACCGCCAGCUAAGGUCCCAAAGUCAUAGUUAAGUGGGAAACGAAGUGGGAAGGCUCAGACAGCCAGGAUGUUGGCUUAGAAGCAGCCAUCAUUUAAAGAAAGCGUAAUAGCUCACUGGUCGAGUCGGCCUGCGCGGAAGAUGUAACGGGGCUAAACUAUGCACCGAAGCUGCGGCAGCGAUAUUUAGAUAUUGUUGGGUAGGGGAGCGUUCUGUAAGCCUGUGAAGGUGUACUGUGAGGUAUGCUGGAGGUAUCAGAAGUGCGAAUGCUGACAUAAGUAACGAUAAUGCGGGUGAAAAACCCGCACGCCGGAAGACCAAGGGUUCCUGUCCAACGUUAAUCGGGGCAGGGUGAGUCGACCCCUAAGGCGAGGCAGAAAUGCGUAGUCGAUGGGAAACGGGUUAAUAUUCCCGUACUGGUGAUAAUUGCGAUGGGGGGACGGAGAAGGCUAGGCUAUCCGGGCGACGGUUGUCCCGGUUUAAGAAUGUAGGCAGGUGAAUUAGGCAAAUCCGGUUCACUACAUGCUGAGGUUCGAUGACGAGUCACUACGGUGAUGAAGUAGCUCAUGCCCCGCUUCCAGGAAAAGCCUCUAAGCUCUAGAUUAUCAUUAAUCGUACCCCAAACCGACACAGGUGGUCAGGUAGAGAAUACUCAGGCGCUUGAGAGAACUCGGGUGAAGGAACUAGGCAAAAUGGUGCCGUAACUUCGGGAGAAGGCACGCUGGCGCUAGGUGAAGUCCCUCGCGGAUGGAGCUGAAGCCAGUCGCAGAUACCAGCUGGCUGCAACUGUUUAUUAAAAACACAGCACUGUGCAAACACGAAAGUGGACGUAUACGGUGUGACGCCUGCCCGGUGCUGGAAGGUUAAUUGAUGGGGUUAUCCGUAAGGAGAAGCUCUUGAUCGAAGCCCCAGUAAACGGCGGCCGUAACUAUAACGGUCCUAAGGUAGCGAAAUUCCUUGUCGGGUAAGUUCCGACCUGCACGAAUGGCGUAAUGAUGGCCAGGCUGUCUCCACCCGAGACUCAGUGAAAUUGAACUCGCUGUGAAGAUGCAGUGUACCCGCGGCAAGACGGAAAGACCCCGUGAACCUUUACUAUAGCUUGACACUGAACAUUGAGCCUUGAUGUGUAGGAUAGGUGGGAGGCUUCGAAGCGUGGACGCCAGUCUGCGUGGAGCCAACCUUGAAAUACCACCCUUUAAUGUUUGAUGUUCUAACGUUGCCCCAUUAUCUGGGGUGCGGACAGUGUCUGGUGGGUAGUUUGACUGGGGCGGUCUCCUCCCAAAGAGUAACGGAGGAGCACGAAGGUUGGCUAAGCAUGGUCGGACAUCAUGCGGUUAGUGCAAAGGCAUAAGCCAGCUUGACUGCGAGAGUGACGGCUCGAGCAGGUACGAAAGUAGGUCUUAGUGAUCCGGUGGUUCUGAAUGGAAGGGCCAUCGCUCAACGGAUAAAAGGUACUCCGGGGAUAACAGGCUGAUACCGCCCAAGAGUUCAUAUCGACGGCGGUGUUUGGCACCUCGAUGUCGGCUCAUCACAUCCUGGGGCUGAAGUAGGUCCCAAGGGUACGGCUGUUCGCCGUUUAAAGUGGUACGCGAGCUGGGUUUAGAACGUCGUGAGACAGUUCGGUCCCUAUCUGCCGUGGGCGUUGGAAGAUUGAAAGGGGCUGCUCCUAGUACGAGAGGACCGGAGUGGACGCACCACUGGUGUUCGGGUUGUCAUGCCAAUGGCAUUGCCCGGUAGCUAAGUGCGGAAGAGAUAACCGCUGAAAGCAUCUAAGCGGGAAACUUGCCUUGAGAUGAGUCUUCCCUGACCCUUUAAGGGUCCUAAAGGAACGUUUAAGACUAAGACGUUGAUAGGUUGGGUGUGUAAGCAUAGCGAUAUGUUGAGCUAACCAAUACUAAUGAACCGUGAGGCUUAACCUGACAACACCGAAGGUGUUUUAG
rnacentral:rRNA from 1 species